ACAGAAACGGAAUGAAAACCAAGACACCUACAACAGAACACAGGUCCAAAAAGACUACAUUUAAUCAGAUUUCACUUUCAGGAGGAAAAGAUGGCUCAUUAAUAUCAGAAGGGCUGACCUCAGACUUAGUCUGUCCCAUGCAGAAAUGAUGCAGGGAGGAUAUGUGGUGUGUGAGCUACAUUUUGAGGAGCGCUUUCUUCGAAAAUCUAAUGGAAGAAAAGCACUCACACAAGAAGCCAUCCCCACAUUGGUGAACUGUGGAAACCCACCACUGCUUGCCUCUCCUCCUCUGAAAAGGCAGAGAAUCAACAGAGCCUUAAAGAGAUCCUGCCCAACUGCUCAGAAAAGUGCCGUGAUUUCAUCCGGGCCCAGCUGUCAGAGGCAGGGAAAAAGGGUAGAGGGAGGAGAUUUGGAAGGACUCUGAAGGAAAU